UCCACAGAGAUGUCUGUCUCCUAGCUCAAUUAGUUGUGGGAAAGGAGAACACUCCAAAGAUGCUCCUCCUUGUACUCAUGUUCGUUACCCUGAAUCCUCUCAGUCCUCAAGGGUAGACUUCAUGAAGGAGACUCCCCUGCAGCUAAGCCACAAGGGUCUCUGAAAUUGCCUCUGGCCUGCAGCCUGUCCUACCUGGCUGUUGUCAUGGUCACUCUGUGAGGUCAAUGCCUCCCAACCCUUUAACCAAUAGGCUGAUGUGCUGCAGAAGGCCUUGUUAGGUCACUGCCAUAGUCACCCUUGCCCCGCAGGGCUAAUGUCCUGUCCCUAGUCAGCCCCUUUUCAUGUUUGAGUUGCACCCCAUGUCGCCCACGCUCACUGAAUGUUAGUUCUGGGAUCAAACAGGUUGCACAUGGAAACAGAGACUACUCAGUGCCAAAUGCUGUUUGCAGAGAUUUGCAGAUUGUGAAGCCAUGUAAUGCAAGGACAGCAGGAUGGAGCAAGAUGGGGGUACGGCAGCUGAAUACACACUGCAGGCUUUACAGACCUGAGCAACAUCGAGUACAUCUGCUAGUACAAAGAUAAAGUGUAUUGGGAUGAAUAUUGAAUUAGCAACCAUCGUUAUGAAACCAUGUGGACUACUGAUGACCACCUGAUGUACUAAAAACAAGAAAAUACCUCCAUAUGGUUAAUGUAUUUUGUUAUGUUUAAAUGUGAA